GACGAACGCUGGCGGCGUGCUUAACACAUGCAAGUCGAACGGAAAGGCCCUGCUUUUGUGGGGUGCUCGAGUGGCGAACGGGUGAGUAACACGUGAGUAACCUGCCCUUGACUUUGGGAUAACUUCAGGAAACUGGGGCUAAUACCGGAUAGGAGCUCCUGCUGCAUGGUGGGGGUUGGAAAGUUUCGGCGGUUGGGGAUGGACUCGCGGCUUAUCAGCUUGUUGGUGGGGUAGUGGCUUACCAAGGCUUUGACGGGUAGCCGGCCUGUGAGGGUGACCGGCGACAGGGGGGGUGAGACGCGGACCAGGGUCCUACGGUAGGCAGCAGUGGGGAAGGGGGGACAAUGGGCGAAAGCCUGAUCCAGCGGGGCCGCGUGCAGGAUGAAGGCCCGCGGGGGGGAAAAUGCUUUUGCAGGGAAAGACAAGAUUCCUCCGAAGAAAGAGGGUCCAUGACGGUACCGGAAGAAGAAGCACCGGCUAACUACGUG
rnacentral:rRNA from 1 species